GGGGGGGGAGUGGUUCUCACCUUUAUUGUUCUCUUGCUAUCUAGCUAGUUUAUGUCAUUUCUAUUUAGUUUAUAUAAGUUUAUUAUUCAAAAAAAAAAAAGUUUGUACUUAGAAAUUGUCCCCCCUUUCUUGAAAAAAAAAAAAAAGAGAGAUCAAAGUCAAAAAUAAGUUUGGGGGUGCCAAAAAAAAAAAAUAUGCAUGUAUAUAUAUAUAUAUUAGUAAAUAAUUAAAGCUAGUGGCAAGAGUUAUAUUUGGUUUGUGGGGUUUCUUUAGGGAAAAAUUUAUUGUGCAUUGCCUAGGUCCUAUAAAGAUCAAUGUGUUUAGGGUGGUUCGAACCGAAAUUAAUUUUCCUUAUCCUACCUUCACCCUAGCCUAUCAUUACAAGCUUGGCUAAGUCUUAUUGAUCCUUGGAGUGGUGUGUGUCUACAUUAGUGGAGAGAAAGUUGUUAGGUAACCUAUGGAGUCAUCAUUUGAACUUGAGGACCAAUGUUUAGUUUAAAUGUUAGUUGAGCGAAAUUGUUUAGGAGAAGCUAUGUUUAAAAAAAUAAAAAAAAAGAGAGGGGCACUUGACACCUACUUUGGGCAGCGGCAUUUAAACUUAAAGAAUUUGGUUUAACGCUUGAGCAAGAUCUUCAUUCAGUUGCCUUUUGCAGAACAUUAUUCCUGAGAGCUAUUUCCCCUAGAAAAAGGGUGAGUUGGCAUUUCAUUAAAAGAGGUGGCAUUUGUGGAGAUGACGUGGCAAUAUAAGAGUGGUGGCUGGAGCUAUUACAUGGAGAGGCUAUCAACAUGCCAUGUGUAGGGUUUAUUUGAGGCAAAAAGGUACUAAACCUAAGGAGAUUGGAAAGAAAAAGGGGCCUCCAUUUAGAGAAAAAAGGGGGCUGAACGAAAAUAGAGCUUUUGGGCUGCCAUUUUUAUACAGAAAAAAAGAAGAUUGAAAGAAGAAGAAGAAGAAGGAGGAAAGAGGAGAAGCACAACAAGAUUCAACAUCCAUCCCUUUGGAAAACUCCUCUAUUAUUGUUUGCUAUUUCUUUCUUCUCUCUUUUAAUUUCUUUAACUUAACAUUCAAACUCCAUGUCUAAAUUUUAUCUUGUAAUGGUGGUUCUUAAGUUAGCUAUGAGCUAAACUUUUUAAUGGUUUGAAUUGUUGAAGAACCCUAUGUUUAGUUGAGUAAUUUUCUUAUGCAAAUAUUUAGUAAAAAUUCUCAUGUUCAUUCAAGUGUGUGUAUUGCUAAUUUCUUGAUAUUGUUUGGCCACCAAUAGCUUGAUUAUUGAGUUAUAUUUAAUUCUGGAAAGGUUAAAUGUAAUGGACUUAGCUUGAAUGACACAAGUUCUUAAUCUUUUUUA